ensembl:snoRNA LOC120097252 small nucleolar RNA SNORA17
UCUUCAUCUAAAGGCAUUUCAGAAGUGCAUGCUAUGUCACAUGUGAAAAAGUAGUUGGAAGAGGGAAAAGAUGCUAUGUCUUUGUUCAGUGUUCUGACCUAUGAACAUCUGAAUGAUUAGUAGUCUAAAGU